CAUGUUUAAACCAAUAAAAGGGAAAAGGUUAUAGAAAUUUGUAAAAUAUCACAAACGUACAUAAAAUAGAAGCAGCAGCUCUGUGCCACUGUAAUGCCCAAUGCCACUGUAAACUGCAUGAUGUGAGAUUUGUAAAUCUGGUCAUUGUGGCAGUGCCGCCCAUUGGAAAUAACUAUUUACCAUGGAGAAGACCACACAUUGCAUAGCACCACCACACGAGAAGGCCUGAGACAGGGAGUUCAUGGAUUCCCAGGGCAUGCAGCUGCUAUAAGAAAGUAAAACAAAACAACUUGGGUCAAG